GGGGAAACUGCGCGGGGCGCGCCGUUUCUGCCCAUGGAUUUGUCGUUCGGUCUCUCCAUUCCUUGCCCGUCUUGUAUAAAAUUGGGCGAAGCACCUAAGCAUUAGCUCCCUCCUCUUUUCUGAUGAGAAUGGUAUAAGCCGGAUGUCCUUUAUUUUUUAAAUUGAAACUAUGUUUGAGGUGGUGAAACUAAGUAUUGAAUAUCCUAGAUGACAGUUUCCGGAGGAGGAAUUAACAAAUGCAUGCGCGCGUGGAUAAUUAAGAAUAUUUGCUUUAUGAACGUUCCAAGGAUGAUACGGGACGUCGGAAAGGAAGAAUAAGCUACUACAUCGUCAUGCCAAACGUAGAUACAGAGCUUUACCAUUUAGGAAUCCGUGGGAUUUAAUCCUUCAACGCAGGUCUUCCUCGUUGACCGUGUUGCUGGCCUUACUCGUUACUCAGAAGAAUGAAAUCCUAUUUGAAUUAACGAAGAUUUCUAACCGUUAUGACAUGGAAGCUUUCCAAAAUAAGCUCUCUAGAACUACAGCUGUUGCUCUGACCCCAGUGUUCCCAUCAUAAAUUCUUCUUUGAAGUUCUACAAAAAUACCCGUUUCACUUUCUGGAAAAGGCAAAUAAUAAGGUAUAAAAUGCUCAAAGACCUUCCACCCAGGAUCUGUUCAGACUAACAGAGAAGAUCAAUUCCCAGUGUGUACAGAGUGGCCAUUGUGUUAACACUGAUGUACAUAUUUUUAAAGGAAAGCCCACCAAGGUAACCUACGAUGCUGUGAAAGAGAACAUCAAGAAAGGCCUUGUGCUGUGAGCCAGACCCACUGGAGGAUCUUCCCAGCUGAUCUUAAUGCACAGACUUCACAUUUAUGGUGUCUUCCGGAAUUUAACCAUCAGCCACACAGAUAUUUGAGCUAUUGUGCAAAUAUUUGGUGUGAAGCUUUGCAAGGAUAUAUGGAUUUCAUCCAGGUAUUGGGACAAUAUUAUGAACUAACCAAGAGACAACUUAAUUUAACUCCUUAAUACUUAGGUAGUGAGGUAAUAGUUUUAAAUUUCGUAAUAAAUAGAAAUGUUGAUCUUUGGGAAUAUGCAAUGAAAUAUUGUAGAAUAUUUUUCUGAAGAUACCACUUUUGCUGAAGAUACCAUCCAUCUGUCCUUGGUAUUAUUUUAUAUGACAUUCCAUUCCAAUCUUCCCCAGAUUGGAGACAGAAAUAAGAUUCUGUGCCACUGAUUAUCCUUAAUCAGGUAGUUAGAGUUUGUUCUUUUAGUUUCUUUUCCCUUCAGGAAAAUAUCUAAUUUAAUUUAUAAGAAAGUUUCAAAAUCCAUUACAGUGAUGAAAGAGGAUACUAAAAUGAGAAACCUUGAAGUCUAUGGGCAAAGCAUUAAUGCUACAAAAAUUAUGUCUUUCAUACAAAGAUGUUGGUUUUAAUUUUCCUGGGUUCCUAUCAUAUUUUUGGGCUAAUUUAUUAAAUUCAUGCAUGUAUUGAAACAA